AUCGACUGAAUAUUAGUACAUUUUUCCAUUCAAAGAGGACGAAACAUCUUCCAAUUUCCCGUUGUGCUGGACCACAGGCUGUUUCAUAGGAUCCGGAUCAGGAGCUUAUAGUAAAAGAUUUGCAGGAGCAAACCACAGCUGUAUAAACGUUAGCUGUUCGGGAAGUGAAUUCCAAUAGUGAAGUAAUGAGAAGAGGAGCACUUCCACUUGCCCAGCGAAUCUGUCAGAUUCUUAAAGCUGCAAGUAGAAACAAAACACUACGGGCUACAGGAUCGGGUGCUGCGCGCUCAUUGGGAAUGAAACACCAGCGCUUAAUCCGGAAAUGGUGUUCGAAGAGGUUAACAAACGAAAUCAAAGCGCAACAAUUCCUCUCAGUUGGUGAAAAUAGUUUGAGUAUCUUUAUUGCCAACAUCCAACAGUGGAAAUGCCGGUUAGGUUAAGAACAAUUUUUUUCUUGUAUAUUUGGAUGUUCAUAUAUUCGUAAUAUAUUGUGAAAUAAAAGCUUUUUAGAACAACCACGAAA